rnacentral:rRNA from 1 species
GGGCCCGCACAAGCGGAGGAACAUGUGGUUUAAUUCGAUGAUACGCGAGGAACCUUACCUGGGCUUGAAAUGCAGAUGACCGGUUGAGAGAUCGACCUUCCCUUCGGGGCAUCUGUGUAGGUGCUGCAUGGUUGUCGUCAGCUCGUGCCGUGAGGUGUCGGCUUAAGUGCCAUAACGAGCGCAACCCUCAUCAUUAGUUGCUAACAGGUCAUGCUGAGGACUCUAAUGAGACUGCCAUCGUAAGAUGCGAGGAAGGUGGGGAUGACGUCAAAUCAGCACGGCCCUUAUGUCCAGGGCGACACACGUGUUACAAUGGGUGGUACAAAGGGCAGCUACUAGGCGACUAGAUGCUAAUCUCUAAAACCACUCUCAGUUCGGAUCGAAGUCUGCAACUCGACUUCGUGAAGCUGGAUUCGCUAGUAAUCGCGCAUCAGCCACGGCGCGGUGAAUACGUUCCCGGGCCUU